GGCAAAACCAAUCAUUCCAGCUGAUUUGUAUAGAGCAAUUCGAGAUUCACAUCUUGUAGGAUUAUCAGGUUGCACUAAAAAGGGUCUUCCCGUCAUUGCCAUUGGUGUUGGGCUCAGCACAUUUGAUAAAGCAUCUGCAUUAUUAUGUGCAGUCACACAUCCAAAUGAAUGAAUACAGAGAUCGUGUAAUAUUUCCUGCUGCAACCAAGAAGUAUGGGCGACAUAUUAGCACUUGUAUCAAAGUUUUAGAUAUGACUGGCUUAAAGUUUUCAGCAUUGAAUCAAAUAAAGCUAUUGACUGUUAUAUCUACAAUUGAUGACUUGAACUAUCCAGAAAAGACAGAGACAUACUAUAUUGUUAAUGCCCCAUAUAUAU
rnacentral:misc_RNA from 1 species